GACCGCUCUGGUGGCAUAGUGGUUAGAGCGUCCGCCUCAGAUGUAGGAGGUCGCAGGUUCCAUCCCCGGCCGAGUCG